CAGCAUAAGAGAGGUAGUGACAAGAAAUAACAAUACAAGGCAGUUAAAAUGCUUUGUAAUUGGAAUGAUAGAAAUUUAAACACUUUUUAAAGUAUCAAUUGGAGGGCAAGUCUGGUGCCAGCAGCCGCGGUAAUUCCAGCUCCAAUAGCGUAUAUUAAAAUUGUUGCAGUUAAAAAGCUCGUAGUUGAAUUUCUGCUAAAAGUAACCGGUCUGCUUUGAAUAAAGGUGGUAUCUUGGUGUGUUUUUAGCAAUAAUGUCCUUUGAAAUGUUUUUUACUUUAUUGUAAUAAAUUAUAUUCAGGAUUUUUACUUUGAGAAAAUUAGAGUGUUUCUAGCAGGCUAACGCUUUGAAUACUGCAGCAUGGAAUAAUAAAAUAGGAUUUUGGUUCUACAUUAUUGGUUUUAAGAACUAAAUUAAUGAUUGAUAGGAACAGUUGGGGGCAUUUGUAUUUAACUGUCAGAGGUGAAAUUCUUAGAUUUGUUAAAGACAAACUACUGCGAAAGCAUUUGCCAAAGAUGUUUUCAUUAAUCAAGAACGAAAGUUAGGGGAUCGAAGACGAUCAGAUACCGUCGUAGUCUUAACUAUAAACUAUGCCGACUAGAGAUUGGAGGUCGUCUUU
rnacentral:rRNA from 1 species